AAGUAUUUAUACAACCAACAAUGAGAUGAUGGUAUAACCAACAAUGGGAUGAUGAUAUAUAAUUUAUGUGUCCCACAUCCAUCAUCUCAUUGUUGGUUUUAUAAAUACUUUU